AUUUUCGAAAAAUUUUUUUUUUUACGAAUAUAAAAAUUUUUUUUUUUUUCGAAAAUAAGAAAAAACGAUUUUUAAAUUAUUUUUUUCGAAAAUACAAAAUUAUAUUUUUUUUUGAAAAAAAAACUGAUAAUGUUUUAUUAAAAAAAAAGAAUUUUGAAAAAAAAAGUUUCAAAAAAAUAAGUGAUUUUUUCAAAAAAAAUAAAAUU
rnacentral:lncRNA from 1 species